GGAUUGUGGCUCAGUGGGAGAGCGCUCGCCUAGUACAUGCGGGGCCCUGGGUUCUAUCCUCAGCACCA
rnacentral:tRNA from 1 species